GACGAACGCUGGCGGCGUGCUUAACACAUGCAAGUCGAACGGAAAGGCCCUGCUUUUGUGGGGUGCUCGAGUGGCGAACGGGUGAGUAACACGUGAGUAACCUGCCCUUGACUUUGGGAUAACUUCAGGAAACUGGGGCUAAUACCGGAUAGGAGCUCCUGCUGCAUGGUGGGGGUUGGAAAGUUUCGGCGGUUGGGGAUGGACUCGCGGCUUAUCAGCUUGUUGGUGGGGUAGUGGCUUACCAAGGCUUUGACGGGUAGCCGGCCUGAGAGGGUGACCGGCCACAAUGGGACUGAGGUACGGCCCAGACUCCUACGGGAGGCAGCAGGUGGGAAUAUUGCACAAUGGGCGGAAGCCUGAUGCAGCGACGCCGCGUGCGGGAUGACGGCCUUCGGGGUGUAAACCGCUUUCGCCUGUGACGAAGCGUGAGUGACGGUAAUGGGUAAAGAAGCACCGGCUAACUACGUG
rnacentral:rRNA from 1 species